rnacentral:rRNA from 1 species
GUUGGCUUAGAAGCAGCCAUCCUUUAAAGAAAGCGUAAUAGCUCACUGGUCGAGUCGGUCUGCGCGGAAGAUUUAACGGGGCUAAGCUAUGCACCGAAGCUCGGGGUGUGCACGCAAGUGCACGCGGUAGAGGAGCGUUCCGUAAGCCUGUGAAGGUGGAUUGUAAAGUCCGCUGGAGGUAUCGGAAGUGCGAAUGCUGACAUGAGUAACGAUAAUGGGGGUGAAAAGCCCCCACGCCGAAAGCCCAAGGUUUCCUCGCGCAACGUUCAUCGGCGCAGGGUGAGUCGGCCCCUAAGGCGAGGCAGAAAUGCGUAGUCGAUGGGAAGCUGGUUAAUAUUCCAGCACUUUUCUACAGUGCGAUGUGGGGACGGAGAAAGUUAGGUCUACCGGGCGUUGGUUGUCCCGGGGAAAGGCGGUAGGCAUGGAUCUU